GUGCAGUGGUCUGGUGUAAGACAGGGAACAAGGCUAAGUACCCGUGCUUCAUGUGACCGGUGAUCUCUCGAACUUCGUUCUCCCGAAGAAAGUGAACAGCAAUGUCCCGCAGACGAACAAACAGGUGGACCUGGAGAAGACUGUGCCGUAAUGUUCGGAACCGGCUACGUUGUACAAUGGUCCUCGUCUUGACUGUAGGGGCGAUGUUAAUCUGUCUAUAUAUGCUUUUGUAUUCCGAAGACCCCGCGAACAGCUCCGAGCUUGUUCUGAGAAGCAGGAGACCGCACAUGACGGCACCCGAGCCCUGGGUCCUAGGUAAAUCCGAGGAUUGUGGCACUCCUAAAGCCAACCCUGCCAAGCGGACGACGCCUUACGGACCGCAAGGCAAGAUUGUUGGCGGCAAGGAAACAGUGAAGGGCGCCCAUCCGUGGC